CUACGUGCCAGCAGCCGCGGUAAUACGUAGGUCCCGAGCGUUGUCCGGAUUUAUUGGGCGUAAAGCGAGCGCAGGCGGUUAGAUAAGUCUGAAGUUAAAGGCUGUGGCUUAACCAUAGUACGCUUUGGAAACUGUUUAACUUGAGUGCAAGAGGGGAGAGUGGAAUUCCAUGUGUAGCGGUGAAAUGCGUAGAUAUAUGGAGGAACACCGGUGGCGAAAGCGGCUCUCUGGCUUGUAACUGACGCUGAGGCUCGAAAGCGUGGGGAGCAAACAGGAUUAGAUACCCUGGUAGUCCACGCCGUAAACGAUGAGUGCUAGGUGUUAGACCCUUUCCGGGGUUUAGUGCCGCAGCUAACGCAUUAAGCACUCCGCCUGGGGAGUACGACCGCAAGGUUGAAACUCAAAGGAAUUGACGGGGGCCCGCACAAGCGGUGGAGCAUGUGGUUUAAUUCGAUGCAACGCGAAGAACCUUACCUACUCUUGACAUCCAGAGAACAUUC
rnacentral:rRNA from 1 species